GCCCGCCGUGUCCAUGGAGAGAGGCUGAGGUGGCCGACCUCCGGCCCGAGGCACCGGGGCGCCGGGACGGCGAAGAUGUCGGCUUCCUUAGUCCGGGCAACUGUCCGGGCUGUGAGCAAGAGGAAGCUGCAGCCCACCCGGGCAGCCCUCACCCUGACACCUUCAGCAGUAAACAAGAUAAAACAACUUCUUAAAGAUAAGCCUGAGCAUGUAGGUGUAAAAGUUGGUGUCCGAACCAGGGUCUGUAAUGGCCUUUCUUAUACUCUAGAAUAUACAAAGACAAAAGGAGAUUCUGAUGAAGAAGUUAUUCAAGAUGGAGUCAGAGUAUUCAUUGAAAAGAAAGCACAGCUAACACUUUUAGGAACAGAAAUGGACUAUGUUGAAGACAAAUUAUCCAGUGAGUUUGUGUUCAAUAACCCAAACAUCAAAGGGACUUGUGGCUGUGGAGAAAGCCUUAAUAUUUGAAAUCUCAGGACUCUUCUGGCCGUAGGUUCCAGGAAAGCUCGUGGAAUCCUUGUUGCUGACUGCAGAAAUUGUGUGACUGUCACAUGCUGGAAAAUAAAGUGAUACAUCUUGAAAAUGAA